ACGGGUAUUUAUAAAGUAGGUGAUGUUGUUAUUGUGUAACUCUCAUCCCUGAAUGUUUGGAACAUGGAAAUUAUGAUAUUUAGUGGACGAUUACUUCAUUAACUACUAUUAAGAUCGAAUAAUGAGCCACUUGUGGAUGACUAUUGCGCUCCAUGUGCACAUGCAGCUAAUGCACGUGCCAAAUAACCGUCGUAUGAAAUUUAGACUAU
rnacentral:lncRNA from 1 species